GAAAUGCGAUAAGUAAUGUGAAUUGCAGAAUUCAGUGAAUCAUCGAAUAUUUGAACGCACCUUGCGCUCCUUGGUCUUCCUUGGCGCCUGCCUGUUUGCGUCUCCUGCCCUCUUCAAAGUAAAUCUUUUGUUAACUCAAUUGGUUUCUACUUUGGUAUUGGAGGUCUUUGCAGCUUCACACCUGCUCCUCUUUGUUCAUUAGCUGGAUCUCAGUGUUAUGCUUGGUUCCACUCGGCGUGAUAAGUUAUCUAUCGCUGAGGACACUGUAAAAGGUGGCCAAGGUAAAUGCAGAUGAACCGCUUCUAAUAGUCCAUUGACUUGGACAAUACUUUUAUGAUCUGAUCUCAAAUCAGGUAGGACUACCCGCUGAACUUAAGC
rnacentral:misc_RNA from 1 species